UGGGGGAAUUUUGGACAAUGGGCGAAAGCCUGAUCCAGCAAUGCCGCGUGUGUGAAGAAGGCCUUCGGGUUGUAAAGCACUUUUGUCCGGAAAGAAAUCCUUGGCUCUAAUACAGUCGGGGGAUGACGGUACCGGAAGAAUAAGCACCGGCUAACUACGUGCCAGCAGCCGCGGUAAUACGUAGGGUGCAAGCGUUAAUCGGAAUUACUGGGCGUAAAGCGUGCGCAGGCGGUUUGCUAAGACCGAUGUGAAAUCCCCGGGCUCAACCUGGGAACUGCAUUGGUGACUGGCAGGCUAGAGUAUGGCAGAGGGGGGUAGAAUUCCACGUGUAGCAGUGAAAUGCGUAGGAGAUGUGGAGGAAUACCGAUGGCGAAGGCAGCCCCCUGGGCCAAUACUGACGCUCAUGCACGAAAAGCGUGGGGAGCAAAACAGGAUUAGAUACCCUGGUAGUCCACGCCCUAAAACGAUGUCAACUAGUUGUUGGGGAUUCAUUUCCUUAGUAACGUAGCUAACGCGUGAAGUUGACCGCCUGGGGAGUACGGUCGCAAGAUUAAAACUCAAAGGAAUUGACGGGGUCAUAGCUGUUUCCU
rnacentral:rRNA from 1 species